rnacentral:rRNA from 1 species
GUGUCAGCCGCCGCGGUAAGACGUAGGAGGCGAGCGUUAUCCGGAUUCACUGGGCGUAAAGCGCAUGUAGGCGGUUGUGUAAGUCCGUUGUUAAAGCCCCUGGCUCAACUGGGGGAGGUCAAUGGAGACUACACUGACUUGAGGGCAACAGAGGCACAUGGAACUCCCGGUGUAGCGGUGGAAUGCGUAGAGAUCGGGAAGAACACCCGUGGCGAAGGCGGUGUGCUGGGUUGCCACUGACGCUGAGAUGCGAAAGUGUGGGGAGCAAACGGGAUUAGAUACCCGCGUAGUCC